AGAGAACACAGGUCAGGUGCAGCAUACAAGAGGCCCAGAGAAUCAAAGCAGCAGCAUGCCUCAGGUCAAGGGAACAAGAUCUUUAGGCGAUGGGUCAUUACAUCAGUGUCUUCGGUACCGCCUCUGCUUUGUGAACGUGGUCAGCUGGGGGUCUAGGACAACAUUUACAACAACAACCCAGUUUGUAGCUCUGGCUGGCCUGGAACUUGCUGUAUAGACCAGGUUGGCCUCUAACUCACUGAGGGCAGACCAUCCUCUCCCUCCCAGAUGCUGGGAUUAAAGGUGUGCAUCACCACGCCCAGUGAGUGGUGGUUUAGGUAAAAUAAAUGGUAAUUCCCUUUAGUCUAGUAAAUAUCUGUGUUUCAAUAAAAACCAAGAAAGCCGCUGGUCCUGACAACAGAACCUCUCCCUAAAGCACGGUACAUCAGUCCUAGCCCGUGUCAUUCAAAUGCCCGUGCCACAUCCUGCCCACAGGCUGGUCUCACCACAGGACUCCUCUACACUGUUAAAUCAUAGGCUGAGCUCUGAGGCAGCCCAAGGGAUAGCAGGUGUUUUCCUUUACACACAACAGUGACCUUUGGAAAAGGGCAUAAAAAUGGGUCUUAAAAUCAUGAUUUCCACAAAGUUGGUAUCAAAAUAAAAAAGGCAUGGGCCAGUGAGAGGGCUCAGGGGGUCUUAGGCACUUGUCAUCAAGCUGACAACCUGAGUAUGAUAUCAUCUCCAGGAGCCACAUGGUAGAAGAAGAAAACGAACUCCUCCAAGUUGUCCUCUAAUCAACCCAUGGGCUUCGGCACUAGUGUGUGCACAGACACAAUGAAUAAAACUGUCAUAAAUAAAAGUUUAAAAGGUGGCACUUUUUUUUUUUUUUUUUUUUUUUUUUGCCGUGCUUCAUCCAGGAAGCUUUUAUUGCUGAUACCUGCCAAAUCCUCUUGUGACGUCCUGGUGAUAGAUGGAGAAGAGGGUUUCUAAGGAACAGGAAAGUGACGAGAAAGUGCCACAUUAACAUUACAGAGGUGCAUGGGACCAGCAUGGACACAGGGGAGAACCAUGGCCUGGCUGGCCAUCAAAGGCAUCAACUGCAUCUGGGGCAUAGCACUUGUUGCCAUAGUUACUGGACAGCAUCAGCAGAGCAGGAGGACAUAUCCACAGGUCCAUCCUCAGCACCUGCUGCCAUAGUUACUGGACAGCAUCAGCAGACAGGAGGACAUAUCCACAGGUCCGUCCUCAGCACCUGCUGCCAUAGUUACUGGACGGCAUCAGCAGAGCAGGAGGAUAAAUCCACAGGUUCGUCCUCAGCUUCCCUGGAAAGCAUUUACUUCAUCCUGAUGACACCUGUCUGGUUUUGGGUUUCAAGAAGACAGCUACAGUCGUCUUCUACUUUUCAUUCUCUGUCCCCUUCUCGUCUACACUACCUCUUCCUGGGUAAAGGCACCUGUAUGUAAGCCCAUGCAUGGGGUGGGAAGAGAGAGCUGAACGACAAAGCUGUCCUCAGAUCCCCACACACGGACCAUGGCACACCUAGCCACACAUACACAUCACAUACAUACACAAUACAUUUUUUAAACUUACAGGUAGAAUUAAUUCGAAUAAGAUGUUUUGUUUAACCUAGCACAGACUGUAUUAUCAUCUCAGUAUGUAACAGUAUGAAAACAUCAAGGAUUUUACCUUUUCUUCUCAUAUGUCAUUGAGUUCCAGUGGGUUCCUUUGAAUGACAGCACACCUUAAUUUGGGCUCAUCACAUUUCAAGGACUCAACAGCCACAUUGGGCUUCUGUACUGAAUAGGCCAAGAGAAUGGCUUUCCUCAGAUGAUCAAAAGCAGGGAGUAUCCUCUCCCUCCAUUCCUCACCGGUUCCCAGGCAGACGGGAGCACACCCUGCCCGGCAGUCCCUCCCAGCAUGAAUACUCCUCUUCCCUAUGUAAAAAAUACUUACUCAUUUACUUAUUUACACAGUGAGUCAAACAUGCAUGUGUUACAUGGGCAGUCAGAGGACAACUUGGAGGAGUCAGUUCUCUCUUCCAACCUUGUAGGUCUGGGUACCAAACUGGGGUUGUCAGGCUUGGAGACAUGCUCAGCCAUCUCCCACUAUCUGCCAUUCCUCUCGCCCCAUGCUUCUCAAUAACAGCCAGAGGAUCCUGGGAGUGUGGGAAGCCUGUUUAGUGUUUAUGAGGUCCGCCUUUCUUUUUUCAACUACAGAUCCGUACAAAGUCAGCCUUUUCUUUGUUUACUUCACAGAAUAUAUAUGGCUUGCUGGCUACCAGCUUAGCUCCAGGUUCGGAGAGAGACCCGUGUCAAAGGCCCAGGGUGGGAAGUGAUAGAUUUAGGCUCUGUGUGUGCCCCGUCACUCCAAUGUGCUUCCUAUAGUGCGUGGCACACCUGGGCACUCAGGAAGACCCUUGGCAACGGCAGCUGACGGCACCGUCUGAGAUCUGUCCUAAGUUUCCAGAAGCAUCCACGAGAGCAUGACUGCUAGGACUAGGUCUCAGGGGCUCUGCAGGUGAACACCGGCACCAACCUGCCACCUAGGAUUUCAGGUUGACAGCUUAAACCCGGAUACGGUGGGAGUCUCAACACUGAAAACUAAACCCCAGAGGUCUUCUGAGGUGCUGGGAGGGGACGGGUGCCAAGCAGUUGCUGGCAGAGCACUGGCUGACUAGGAGGGUGCAGGGGAGGAAGGAAACUGAGCUGCACUCCACUCCUUUGCCAUUCACACUGUUCAACCCCUGUGAGGUCACAGGCUGUCUUAGUUUCCCCUGCUGCUGCUGUGGUAAAACCCUCUGACAAAAGCAGAGAGAGGAUGUUCAGAGUUCCCAGCUGAGGGCAGUCAAGGCAGCAGGUGCUGGAAGCGGCUUCUCACUUCAUGUCCGGAGUCAGAGGAGAGCAGUGAACUCCCGCAUGCUGGUGUUUAGCUGUCUCCUGCUUUUCACAUCGCCCAGAAGCCCCUGCCUAGGCAAUGUCCUCGCUCACAAUUUAGACAGCUAGGUCUUCCCACACUGAUGAGUCAUAAUCAAGAUAAUCCCCGAUAAUCAAGGCAUGCCCAGAGGCCAGUCUCCCAGGUGAUUACAGAUUCUGUCAAGCUGACAACUGACAUUAACCAUCACACAGGGCACAUUUAGAAUGACCAAGCGAAGUGAGGUCAUGUUGAGAUCUUGAUAAUAUCAGAAGCACACACUCUUCUGAAUAAUUCUUGGCGCUGCUGAUGCAGGAAAAGUAUUAGACUUGAACUGGGAUGUUCAACUGCCUUCCACAGAAUGGAGACUAGUCUCAUACUGGACAGACAGACUAGGGUGGCUGUGUAACAAAUUCUAGGCAUGUUUCUGUCUUUUGCCAUCAAGUUUUUUACUGUAACCCUCAGUUAGCAACCUACUCAUCUUUUAUGAAUUCUAAAACAAGCAGAGAAAAUUCUUUCUCAGGUUUGGAGCCUCUGGUUAAAACACAUUAAGAGGAAAGAAACCCAUGACAGUCCUAACCUGAUCCUGUGCCUAAGUGACUCUUCCGGACAUGGGCUCUGCCUCUCCCCCAACCAGCACGGGUAACCCUGGCACAUCUGGGUUUCACGGAGGAAGAGUCCCUAAGAAGCCCAUCAACAACAUUUCUGAGGUCAAAAGUGGGGGCAUACCUGCAAUGGGGAUGCUGAGGCAGGGGAACUUUGGGUUUGGACCACACAGUAAGAUCCUGACUCAGGAAAAGAACUGGAGCUACCGGAGCACACUGAGAGACUCAUGGGACCCCAGAGUCUGCACGGUGCCACCACCUCAUACUUGAAACAACCCGCAACAACAAGACUGCAAGGAGCUGACACGGAGAGGGCAGGGGCGGGGCCAACUCCUGCGGGGACACAAUGGUGUUUCUGUGUCUCCGGACUGGACUGUGUUCUUUCUACCAAGUCCCUCCCAUCACAGGAGAGGCCGCACAGAGUCACCGGGGAGAGACAGAGGGCCGGGCGUCAGGGAGGAUGCCUGGGACCCCCGGCAAGAGUCAGAAGUGACAGGAGCCCCAGAGAGAAGGCAGGAUGGAUCAUGCCUCUCCAUGCUUUCCACCCAGGCUGGAGAACCACAGAGCUGAGAGGAGAAAGGAGGUCAGGCCAGUAGAUGGAGCUGGGGCGAAGAAUCCCAGGGCACCUGCUGAGCCUGGUACCUUUCUCCUGGCUGGCUGUGGUCUGUGCUAAAGGACAGGCAGGGGAACAUGUCAGGAAGCAGUAAGCAGGGCCAGGAAGACAGGCCAUGAGGCGCAAGGAUGAAGGGCGCAGCCUGGAGCUGUCCCGGCACCUCCUCCCGCCCUCGGCCUCAUGCAUCACUUCCACAGUACACUGACUGCACAGUCCACACCAGGCUGUGUAAAGAUGAAGUCAGGCCACAUUUGAAAUCACAUUUUAUAAACCAGAGAACACAACCAAACUAUGAGGUCUACUCUCUUUACUCUCUGAAGGAACAAAUCUUGCAAGAAGCUGUUUAAGCAAAAGGCUGCUUUCUUAAAAUAAAGCAAGA